UCUUCCCUCUUUCCUCGUGCCUAAUACAUGCAAGUCGAGCGAACGGACGAGAAGCUUGCUUCUCUGAUGUUAGCGGCGGACGGGUGAGUAACACGUGGAUAACCUACCUAUAAGACUGGGAUAACUUCGGGAAACCGGAGCUAAUACCGGAUGAUAUUUUGAACCGCAUGGUUCAAAAGUGAAAGACGGUCUUGCUGUCACUUAUAGAUGGAUCCGCGCUGCAUUAGCUAGUUGGUAAGGUAACGGCUUACCAAGGCAACGAUGCAUAGCCGACCUGAGAGGGUGAUCGGCCACACUGGAACUGAGACACGGUCCAGACUCCUACGGGAGGCAGCAGUAGGGAAUCUUCCGCAAUGGGCGAAAGCCUGACGGAGCAACGCCGCGUGAGUGAUGAAGGUCUUCGGAUCGUAAAACUCUGUUAUUAGGGAAGAACAUAUGUGUAAGUAACUGUGCACAUCUUGACGGUACCUAAUCAGAAAGCCACGGCUAACUACGUG
rnacentral:rRNA from 1 species